rnacentral:rRNA from 2 species
UUAAGCGACUAAGCGUACACGGUGGAUGCCCUGGCAGUCAGAGGCGAUGAAGGACGUGCUAAUCUGCGAUAAGCGUCGGUAAGGUGAUAUGAACCGUUAUAACCGGCGAUUUCCGAAUGGGGAAACCCAGUGUGAUUCGUCACACUAUCAUUAACUGAAUCCAUAGGUUAAUGAGGCGAACCGGGGGAACUGAAACAUCUAAGUACCCCGAGGAAAAGAAAUCAACCGAGAUUCCCCCAGUAGCGGCGAGCGAACGGGGAGCAGCCCAGAGCCUGAAUCAGUGUGUGUGUUAGUGGAAGCGUCUGGAAAGGCGCGCGAUACAGGGUGACAGCCCCGUACACAAAAAUGCACAUACUGUGAGCUCGAUGAGUAGGGCGGGACACGUGGUAUCCUGUCUGAAUAUGGGGGGACCAUCCUCCAAGGCUAAAUACUCCUGACUGACCGAUAGUGAACCAGUACCGUGAGGGAAAGGCGAAAAGAACCCCGGCGAGGGGAGUGAAAAAGAACCUGAAACCGUGUACGUACAAGCAGUGGGAGCACGCUUAGGCGUGUGACUGCGUACCUUUUGUAUAAUGGGUCAGCGACUUAUAUUCUGUAGCAAGGUUAACCGAAUAGGGGAGCCGAAGGGAAACCGAGUCUUAACUGGGCGUUAAGUUGCAGGGUAUAGACCCGAAACCCGGUGAUCUAGCCAUGGGCAGGUUGAAGGUUGGGUAACACUAACUGGAGGACCGAACCGACUAAUGUUGAAAAAUUAGCGGAUGACUUGUGGCUGGGGGUGAAAGGCCAAUCAAACCGGGAGAUAGCUGGUUCUCCCCGAAAGCUAUUUAGGUAGCGCCUCGUGAAUUCAUCUCCGGGGGUAGAGCACUGUUUCGGCAAGGGGGUCAUCCCGACUUACCAACCCGAUGCAAACUGCGAAUACCGGAGAAUGUUAUCACGGGAGACACACGGCGGGUGCUAACGUCCGUCGUGAAGAGGGAAACAACCCAGACCGCCAGCUAAGGUCCCAAAGUCAUGGUUAAGUGGGAAACGAUGUGGGAAGGCCCAGACAGCCAGGAUGUUGGCUUAGAAGCAGCCAUCAUUUAAAGAAAGCGUAAUAGCUCACUGGUCGAGUCGGCCUGCGCGGAAGAUGUAACGGGGCUAAACCAUGCACCGAAGCUGCGGCAGCGACGCUGAUGCGUUGUUGGGUAGGGGAGCGUUCUGUAAGCCUGUGAAGGUGUGCUGUGAGGCAUGCUGGAGGUAUCAGAAGUGCGAAUGCUGACAUAAGUAACGAUAAAGCGGGUGAAAAGCCCGCUCGCCGGAAGACCAAGGGUUCCUGUCCAACGUUAAUCGGGGCAGGGUGAGUCGACCCCUAAGGCGAGGCCGAAAGGCGUAGUCGAUGGGAAACAGGUUAAUAUUCCUGUACUUGGUGUUACUGCGAAGGGGGGACGGAGAAGGCUAUGUUGGCCGGGCGACGGUUGUCCCGGUUUAAGCGUGUAGGCUGGUUUUCCAGGCAAAUCCGGAAAAUCAAGGCUGAGGCGUGAUGACGAGGCACUACGGUGCUGAAGCAACAAAUGCCCUGCUUCCAGGAAAAGCCUCUAAGCAUCAGGUAACAUCAAAUCGUACCCCAAACCGACACAGGUGGUCAGGUAGAGAAUACCAAGGCGCUUGAGAGAACUCGGGUGAAGGAACUAGGCAAAAUGGUGCCGUAACUUCGGGAGAAGGCACGCUGAUAUGUAGGUGAAGUCCCUCGCGGAUGGAGCUGAAAUCAGUCGAAGAUACCAGCUGGCUGCAACUGUUUAUUAAAAACACAGCACUGUGCAAACACGAAAGUGGACGUAUACGGUGUGACGCCUGCCCGGUGCCGGAAGGUUAAUUGAUGGGGUCAGCGCAAGCGAAGCUCUUGAUCGAAGCCCCGGUAAACGGCGGCCGUAACUAUAACGGUCCUAAGGUAGCGAAAUUCCUUGUCGGGUAAGUUCCGACCUGCACGAAUGGCGUAAUGAUGGCCAGGCUGUCUCCACCCGAGACUCAGUGAAAUUGAACUCGCUGUGAAGAUGCAGUGUACCCGCGGCAAGACGGAAAGACCCCGUGAACCUUUACUAUAGCUUGACACUGAACAUUGAGCCUUGAUGUGUAGGAUAGGUGGGAGGCUUUGAAGUGUGGACGCCAGUCUGCAUGGAGCCGGCCUUGAAAUACCACCCUUUAAUGUUUGAUGUUCUAACGUUGACCCGUGAUCCGGGUUGCGGACAGUGUCUGGUGGGUAGUUUGACUGGGGCGGUCUCCUCCUAAAGAGUAACGGAGGAGCACGAAGGUUGGCUAAUCCUGGUCGGACAUCAGGAGGUUAGUGCAAUGGCAUAAGCCAGCUUGACUGCGAGCGUGACGGCGCGAGCAGGUGCGAAAGCAGGUCAUAGUGAUCCGGUGGUUCUGAAUGGAAGGGCCAUCGCUCAACGGAUAAAAGGUACUCCGGGGAUAACAGGCUGAUACCGCCCAAGAGUUCAUAUCGACGGCGGUGUUUGGCACCUCGAUGUCGGCUCAUCACAUCCUGGGGCUGAAGUAGGUCCCAAGGGUAUGGCUGUUCGCCAUUUAAAGUGGUACGCGAGCUGGGUUUAGAACGUCGUGAGACAGUUCGGUCCCUAUCUGCCGUGGGCGCUGGAGAACUGAGGGGGGCUGCUCCUAGUACGAGAGGACCGGAGUGGACGCAUCACUGGUGUUCGGGUUGUCAUGCCAAUGGCACUGCCCGGUAGCUAAAUGCGGAAGAGAUAAGUGCUGAAAGCAUCUAAGCACGAAACUUGCCCCGAGAUGAGUUCUCCCUGACUCCUUGAGAGUCCUGAAGGAACGUUGAAGACGACGACGUUGAUAGGCCGGGUGUGUAAGCGCAGCGAUGCGUUGAGCUAACCGGUACUAAUGAACCGUGAGGCUUAACCUU